rnacentral:rRNA from 1 species
AAACCAGCACCUCAAGUGGUCAGGAUGAUUAUUGGGCCUAAAGCCUCCGUAGCCGGCUCUGUAAGUUUUCGGAUAAAUCUGUACGCUCAACGUACAGGCUGCCGGGAAUACUGCAGGGCUAGGGAGUGGGAGAGGUAGACGGUACUCGGGAGGAAGGGGUAAAAUCCUUUGAUCUCUCGAUGACCACCUGUGGCGAAGGCGGUCUACCAGAACACGUCCGACGGUGAGGGAUGAAAGCUGGGGGAGCAAACCGGAUUAGAAACCCCGGUAGUCC